UUUGUACGUGUACAGCGUUUUCGUUGCUGCCCACGAAACGGUAAAAUUAUGUAAAUUCUGUCGUUGUGUUAGGUGUAAUUUUUAGACCGUCGUGUACAUUAUGGCUUGCGGUAACGGCGUACGGGAUUUCUUGCACCAGAUGCUUCCAUGAUAAUAAACUCGUUACGUUUACGUAUUGGAUGCGUAGGAGCUACUCAGAAGCAAACCUCUACCUUCCUAAUGUAAAGGAAAAUUGCCGCGUUCCGCAUCUGCUGAAACCAAACAGACGAUCUUUGCUCGAUAAAUCAUGCAACUGUAUGUUAUUCUGGAUGAACGUGCCUCGUUAACUAAAUAGCCAAAUUCAGUGAAGUGAGUUCGGGUAACGCUGGGCACUUAGCGUAGUACGCAAUUUACCGUUUAUCGAAGUUUCAUCCCAUAAACAUAAUGAGAUCUCCUCUGUCCGGUUUACUUUGUCCCACCAACUUCUGCCUGCGUCAACCCAUAUAAUUCGAUAAAACAAUAUUAAAAUCUGUCUUCAAUGCAUGCGAGUAAUAAACGAUUUUAUUAUACCGGGACUAACGAGCGAUAUCAUUAGAAGUUUUACAUAAUACAUACGUGUGUCAAAGCUAACUGUUCACCACGAUGUAGACUACCGUGUCGAUAAGCAGCUAAUGGUAGAGAAAUAACUUAAAAACGUUCUAACUGCAGGCGUAUCGAUAUAUACCUUUCUGAAUGACAUUGGAUUUUGGGCUAGUUACUUGGCUGUGUUUUUUACUUACUUUCAAAAUUACAGAAGUACCUAAAGAUUGCAAUAUAUUUUCUGUAUUGAAAUGUUCCACUUCAGUGAAAAACUCAUCGCCAUAGUCCAUAAAAGUACCCAUAAAAAUGUAUCGUUCGAGUCGGUUUUCUGAACUUGGUUAACUUAGUGGUUAGUAGUUACAGAAGUUGAAGAAAAUGCAAGCAACGAGUUCAUUGCAGAACAAGCAUUGCGGAUUCAGUCCCUACAAAAGUGUUCUAAGUACGGGAGUACUUUUAAAUCAAUUCACAGUAUUGGCUCAGAUAAAGAUAAAGCGAUGAUAUAGUUUAGCGAGCUCGUUUAAAUGAAGCUCAGUAGAUACGUACUUUUUAUCUUAUUUUAAACGAUAGUAGUAAUUCUCCUAAUAACUUACACUAUUCAAAUUUAAACUAGCACUUACUGAACGACAAUAGGCAGCUGAUUGUAGGACAGAUUGACUCGCAUUUCCGGUAUAGUAGGACGUUAUUGAUGAUCACCACUGGAGCAACACAGGUAGAUACUCGCCGAAUUGCAUGACAUUGAUAAUUGUAUAGUUUUUUUUUUUUUUUUUUUGCAGGUCGUUAACUCGUACUAAAUUGUACGUUUUUGAUCCUCCUAACCUCGUUCCAUACAAGUAACGAAUUUUAAUAUAACAGAUACUACAUUUGUUAAUAAAACUAUUAUUAUUACUUUUAUAUGUAUUCUCUUUCGAAAAUUCGCUUCAACUUACUCGGGGUGACGCGGCAAAAUGCUCUGACCGAAUACGCUUCUGCCGUACCUAAACGCAACGUGAGUGGAACGACAAAGACCGUCGAAGAGCAAAGCCUACCGCAUAGAUGCGACAUCAAUGUAGAUCUUUCAGCCAGGAAGCCUUCGUGUGCAAUUGAGAGUGGUCCAAUGGAGCAGGGAAUGCUAGGUCUGCGACGACGUGAGAAAAAAUCGGCUACUCCGACUUGAUUUGGGGUAGAGGAAUCAUUUUUGCUGGAAGAACACGACAGACAACCGAAUCCUGUGUAAACGAGGGCUAUAUCUGAGAAUAGCAACAGUAACAGCGACGAGCCUCAAACUGGCCAGAGCCUAAUUCUUUGCUUAUAGUUCAUGGAAACGAUGUACAGUGAUAGUAAUAAUAAUGAACAGUGUCGUAUAUACCAAUAAUCAUAAUUGGAAAAUAAAA